rnacentral:rRNA from 1 species
GAAGGUGGGGAUGACGUCAAAUCAGCACGGCCCUUACGUCCGGGGCUACACACGUGUUACAAUGGGGGGUACAGAAGCCCGCUACCUGGUGACAGGAUGCCAAUCCCACAAACCUCUCUCAGUUCGGAUCGAAGUCUGCAACCCGACUUCGUGAAGCUGGAUUCGCUAGUAAUCGCGCAUCAGCCAUGGCGCGGUGAAUACGUUCCCGGGCCUUGUACACACCGCCCGUCAAGCCAUGAAAGCCGGGGGUACCUGAAGUACGUAACCGCAAGGAGCGUCCUAGGGUAAAACUGGUAAUUGGGGCUAAGUCGUAACAAGGUA